rnacentral:lncRNA from 1 species
AAAGAUACUGUAGCAAUAGAUAAAAUAGCAUUCCAUUGGGUCAACUUCGGGCCCCACUGAAUUUUCUGUUAUUUUACAGCACCGGACUUGAUCUUCGGUGAUGCUCAGCCCAAAUGCCUUCACUGCCCUCCCUUAUUGAGUUCUUGAAGAGAAGAGCCUCUGUGUGUGUGACAAUGCUGGUACCACCUGUAAAGUCCUGGGAUUCCCGUAUCCUGGUUAUCCCAGACGUGCACAGGGAUAGGAACUGGGCAUCCUCCCUACCUGAGUGCUUCAGGAACUGA